GUNCCAGCAGCCGCGGUAAUACAGAGGGUGCGAGCGUUAAUCGGAUUUACUGGGCGUAAAGCGUGCGUAGGCGGCUAAUUAAGUCAAAUGUGAAAUCCCCGAGCUUAACUUGGGAAUUGCAUUCGAUACUGGUUAGCUAGAGUAUGGGAGAGGAUGGUAGAAUUCCAGGUGUAGCGGUGAAAUGCGUAGAGAUCUGGAGGAAUACCGAUGGCGAAGGCAGCCAUCUGGCCUAAUACUGACGCUGAGGUACGAAAGCAUGGGGAGCAAACAGGAUUAGAUACCCUGGUAGUCCAUGCCGUAAACGAUGUCUACUAGCCGUUGGGGCCUUUGAGGCUUUAGUGGCGCAGCUAACGCGAUAAGUAGACCGCCUGGGGAGUACGGUCGCAAGACUAAAACUCAAAUGAAUUGACGGGGGCCCGCACAAGCGGUGGAGCAUGUGGUUUAAUUCGAUGCAACGCGAAGAACCUUACCUGGCCUUGACAUAGUAGAAACUUUCCAGAGAUGGAUUGGUGCCUUCGGGAAUCUACAUACAGGUGCUGCAUGGCUGUCGUCAGCUCGUGUUGUGAAAUGUUGGGUUAAGUCCCGCAACGAGCGCAACCCUUAUCCUUUGUUGCCAGCGGUUCGGCCGGGAACUCAAAGGAGACUGCCAGUGAUAAACUGGAGGAAGGUGGGGAUGACGUCAAGUCAUCAUGGCCCUUACGAGUAGGGCUACACACGUGCUACAAUGGCGCAUACAAAGAGAAGCGAACUCGCGAGAGCAAGCGGACCUCAUAAAGUGCGUCGUAGUCCGGAUUGGAGUCUGCAACUCGACUCCAUGAAGUCGGAAUCGCUAGUAAUCGUAGAUCAGAAUGCUACGGUNANNNNGUUCCCGGGCCUUGUACACACCGCCCGU
rnacentral:rRNA from 1 species